UACGGGGGGGGCAAACGUUGUUCGGAAUUACUGGGCGUAAAGCGCGUGUAGGCAGCUCGGAAAGUCGGGUGUGAAAGCCCUGGGCUUAACCUAGGAAGUGCACUCGAAACUUCCGAGCUUGAGUUCUGGAGAGGAAGGCGGAAUUCUCGGUGUAGAGGUGAAAUUCGUAGAUAUCGAGAGGAACACCGGUGGCGAAGGCGGCCUUCUGGACAGUGACUGACGCUGAGGUGCGAAAGCGUGGGGAGCAAACAGG
rnacentral:rRNA from 1 species